rnacentral:rRNA from 1 species
GAUGAACGCUGACAGAAUGCUUAACACAUGCAAGUCAACUGUGGCGGACGGGUGAGUAACGCGUAAAGAACUUGCCUCACGGAUAGGGACCACAUUUGGAAACGAAUGCUAAUACCUGAUACUGUGAGAGAGCUUUGCGUCCCAUUAGCUAGUUGGAGAGGUAACGGCUCACCAAGGCGAUGAUGGGUAGCCGGCCUGAGAGGGGGGUCGGCCACAAGGGGACUGAGAGACGGCCCUUCCUCCUACGGGGGGCAGCAGUGGGGAAUAUGGGGCAAUGGACCAAAGUCUGAUCCAGCAAUUCUGUGUGCACGAUGAAGUUUUGGGAAUGUAAAGUGCUUUCAGUUGGGAAGCGGUACCAGCAGAAGAAGUGACGGCUAAAUACGUGCCAGCAGCCGCGGUAAUUC